rnacentral:lncRNA from 1 species
GGCUUGAGUAAAUAUCACGUCAGCGUUUGGGACUGUGAACCCCAACCCCGGUGGCCGUUGGUGUGCUGAACUCUCCGGAGACCCGCCUGCUUUCUGCUUGUUCUUCCUGCCGUGGCUCCAGCGAUAUGCUGAGCUCUCCGGAGACUCGCCUGCUUUCUGCUUGUUCUUUCUGCCGUGCCUCCAGCGAUCUCCCCUCUGGCACCUCUGCUCAGACCACUGCUCUCUUUUUCCUGUGCUGUUCCUGCUUUGAAAUGGCAAUAAAAUUCCUUCCUUUGACUGAGCUGCUGACCCAGCCACUGACAGGAAUUGAGCUGCACGCCUGUGGCUCUUGCAGCUGACAGACAGCAUGCUGAGAACAAAGGAGCAGGAGGAAAGCAUGAGUCACUGGAGCCUACCCCACGUCACUAAACCUGGGGAAAACCAGAAGAUUGUGCUGCCCCUGGUCUGAGGUUCCCUGGGAGUCAUGAUGAGCCACCAAUAAGAGACUUGACUUGUGACCGUGGUGUAAUUGAAAUAUCUGGUUUUGAUGCGGACAUCCUGACGCUGAAGUCUCCCUCUCUCAUCAGCUGUGUGGCUUCAGGAAGCUAAUUCACUUUUACUGAGUCACAUACCCUUCAUUUGUAAAAUGAGGUCAUCUCCACACGGCUCCCUCACAAAUGGUGGCAAAGAUUCAAUAUGUGAAUGG